AUUGAACGCUGGCGGAAUGCUUUACACAUGCAAGUCGAACGAUGAACCUUAGCUUGCUAAGGGGAUUAGUGGCGAACGGGUGAGUAAUAUAUCGGAACGUGCCUUGUAAUGGGGGAUAACUAGUCGAAAGAUUAGCUAAUACCGCAUACGCCCUGAGGGGGAAAGUAGGGGAUCUUCGGACCUUACGUUAUAAGAGCGGCCGAUAUCUGAUUAGCUAGUUGGUGGGGUAAUGGCCUACCAAGGCGACGAUCAGUAGCUGGUCUGAGAGGACGACCAGCCACACUGGAACUGAGGCACGGUCCCGACUCCUACGGGGGGCAGCAGUGGGGAAUUUUGGACAAUGGGCGCAAGCCUGAUCCAGCCCUUCCGCGUGAGUGAAGAAGGCCUUCGGGUUGUAAAGCUCUUUCGCUAGGGAAGAAAACUUACCAGCGAAUAAAUGGUGAGGCUGACGGUACCUUGAUAAGAAGCACCGGCUAACUACGUG
rnacentral:rRNA from 1 species